UGCCAGCAGCCGCGGUAAUACGGAAGGUGCAAACGUUAAUCGGAAUUACUAGACGUAAAGCACACGCAGGCGAUUUGUUAAACUAAAUGUGAAAGCCCCGGGCUCAACCUGGGAUGGUCAUUUAGAACUGGCAGACUAGAGUUUUGGAGAGGGGAGUGGAAUUCCAGGUGUAGCGGUGAAAUGCGUAGAUAUCUGGAGGAACAUCAGUGGCGAAGGCGGCUCCCUGGCCAAAGACUGACGCUCAUGUGCGAAAGUGUGGGUAGCGAACAGGAUUAGAUA
rnacentral:rRNA from 1 species